ACAAACACCCUGUAGUAAAUGCAUUUGCCAGAAUUAUGAAUUAUCUGUUAUAGAUCCUUUUCAUAAUUUUCAAAAUGUAUUUUUCCAAUGUUUUUUUAGUUAUUCAAAUAUUUCAAAAUAUACUACAUGAAUGCUUCAUGUUUCAAAAUUGGAAAUGUUUUAGUUGACUUAGUCUUAAUACAUUUUAAGGCUAGUUGUAUAAAAUAAGUUAGAAUGCAAAACCUUCUAAAUUAGCGGGACUGUGUCUCAAUCCGUAAGUUCCUUUCACUGUUUGUGGUAACACUACCAUUUCAUUUUACCUUAGAAUUAAAGAAGAAUUGAAGUGCAUUGUCCAGAGCUGCAAAAUUUGUGGCCAAUCUUCAACAUCAUCUCAGCAAAAUCAGGGAUCAGAUGAUGGUCACAGUGAAGUGUAAAGGAUCCUUUCUCAUCUACAAAAGGACACAGUCUUAAGGCCUGAUUCUGUGUACCCACAAUGCACUUUGUAAUAUUUUCCUUUGCUAAUUGGUACACAGAAUUAUGACAUCAUUCGUCUCAAAACAUUACUCCUACGUUUCCAUGCUAAUACUGCUUGAUGCUGAAAAAAUGUUCCUGGUUUAUUUAUCACAGUGUUUCUCAACCCUGGUCCAGGGGACCUACUGUGUACACUGGUUUUUGUCAUUGCCAAUCUCUUAGUUGAUCAGUUAAGGUUGUUGAAAGUGUGCUUUAUCAUAACUGUGUGGUUAAACUUAUUUUAGCGCAAUGAAGGUUUGGCUUGUUGCUAUUUGCUGUCAGUAAAUUCCUUUCAUUGUGAGUAACUUGCCAUUUUUGCCAAACAUGCUUUUCUUCAGAUAGUGCCUACAGCGCAGUAAAUGAAAGCAUAAGUUGGUCUGACCAAUUGAAAUUCCUCGGAUGUGAAUAUGGGACAUUCAUUUUUACGGGCAUAUAUAGGUAUUUCUGGCAUAAUGUGGGUUUAAGGGGGCACUUUGUCAUUCAGUAGAUGCAAAAAGUCUAAUUAAGAACAAUUAGAAGCUUAUUACAAUGCAACACUCGUUACUGCGGUUGGAACAAACAGCAGCAUAAACAUGGGUCCCCAGGCCCAGGAUUGAUAAACAUUGAAUUAGGGAUUGUGGAAGUAUGCUUCUCCUGUAGGCUUUUAAUGUUUUUACAUUUCUGCUUAAAAAAGAUUGUAUUGAUCAAGAAUAUAGUUAAAUGUAUGUGAUUAUGUGAAGAUCAAUGAAGAACAGCAGGUGUUCUGUGUUACGUCUUAGAAUUUGUAACUAAGGAAAUACUGUGGCCUCUUUGUACACUGAUGCAUACGAUCUAGAGAAUCUUUGAAUCCCAGUUGCAGGAGGAAAAUUGUAAACAUUUACUUAUUGGAAUUUUGUAAGUAACUUAUGUUGGGAAACAGUCUUGUGCAGUCCUUUGAGUUGCAAGAGAAGAGAAAGGACACUGACCUAGAAAGAACUGUUUUGCUAUAUCCAAUUAUUGUAUAUAUUAUAUUCUAUUAAAAUGAAUAAAUGAAAAUCAAAUUAAUAACAGCAACAGUAAUAGUAUACACAUAUUCUGUUAGAACAUGUUGAUGUGUUUGUAUAUGAGUGAAAUAUUUCAUUUGGAUUACAGCAUGUAUUGAAUGCAUUUAAAGUGCAUGUACAUUGGAACCGGAAGAUUAAACAAUUGUUAAUCAUGAGAACAAAUACUUGUUAUUCAAGUCAUGCAUGUACAUACCUCUGUAAGUGUGUGUGGUGAAAUAUCUGUCAUUUAUUGAAAUUGAAAAAUAGUUAUUGUUACACUAGCUGGUGAAACAUAAGUGUGAACUAGAGGGAAGAUACAUCAUGGUAGAGGGAGAUCUGAAUGUAUAAAAAAUGGAUGUAAAAUGUAAUUCGGAGAGCUCUCUGUGUGUCUUUAUGGUACUGGAGACCUCCCAUAGGCCUAUGUGAAAUAAAAAGAUAAGAAGAAUAAAAUAAGGAGUAUUAGAACAAA